CUGGACUGAAGCAUGCAUGGCCCUUGCCUUUUGGGGGGAGAUCCCUUGCUGCUUGGGACUCUGCCAGCAGAAAGCCACCACUCAAUACAGUCUCUCGUCCUUGGGUCUUUGCGACAGUGAACUGAAGAAGUCCUCUUUUCUUUUGAACUCACCAAGGCAAGGCACGGAACACAAAUGACCCUUUCCUUGAAGUGGCAUGGUGGCAACUCAUCUUCCUGAAGCAGUGGCCGUCCUCAUGCUCGGAUGAGUGACCAGACACACUCACAGGACCACUGUAUCCCUGCCGUGCCCUUCGGAACUGAUCAGAACAGAGGAUGCAACUAAGCCCUGGCUGACAGGAGUUCUCCAUUAUCAAGUAGAAUCAGGGGUUCAAAUAGAAACCAGGUCUGGUUGUUGCU
rnacentral:lncRNA from 1 species